GUUUUCUUGAGAUAGCUGUAUGUGUGUUUUUUUGGAGGUGGUGGUUAUCAGUUGUGAGUUUGGAAGCUUUGGUUUGCAGCUUGUAGUUUGGUUGGUUUGUUGCUAGGUUUGCAUGUAGGAAAGGAGAAGGAGAAGACAGUCAUCUGGUUUAGCUUUGGAAUUAGUAACUUAGGGGUACUUUCGCCGAUCACCAUGAUGGUCGCCAACCCUUAACGGCUAUAAGAGAGUGAGAUCGACCGUUGAGCUUUACGGUUCUGCUCUCCUCACUGGUCACUGUCUGUCUCUCCCUUCAAUUUCAAUGGCUUGAGUUUUUUAGUGCGUCAAAUAUUUCCUAGCUUGGUCAAUUUGUGGUGGCUUUGGGUGGCCUCUGUUUGGUUUUCUUCAACUUACUAAACCACCAUUGGAGAGACCCCUGCAAGCUGCAACUAGGAGGGCUUGCCUUUUCGAGUGGAUAACCCAAAUAACCUAGGGUUUUCUUCUUUUGGGUCCUAUGGGCCUAGUUGUUUUUGAUAAGCUAGGUUUAAGGGUUUGAUGAGUUUCUUCUGUUAAGGGGCUUUGGGUCUUAUUAGGUGAACUACGGAUGGAUUAGCUACUUCAUGUAAUUAGCCUUGAGCCCUGAAUUUGUAGAAUCUUUUAUGCAAUGGAAUGCCCA
rnacentral:misc_RNA from 1 species